rnacentral:sRNA from 2 species
ACAAUUUUUUGGUCCAAUUUCUUUAAGAAAGUGGGGGUCCAAAAAUGGGGUGAAUCUUGCCAAAAAGGCGUAAGGGCUUUCCUUGCCGGCCCGAACCGCAGCUAACUUAGUAGGCUGUCGGAAGGCAAGG